rnacentral:rRNA from 1 species
AUGCAGCCAUGCCGCGUGUGUGAAGAAGGCCUUCGGGUUGUAAAGCACUUUCAGCGGGGAGGAAGGCGGUGAGGUUAAUAACCUCAUCGAUUGACGUUGCCCGCAGAAGAAGCACCGGCUAACUCCCUGCCAGCAGCCGCGGUAAUACGGAGGGUGCAAGCGUUAAUCGGAAUUACUGGGCGUAAAGCGCAGGCAGGCGGUCUGUCAAGUCGGAUGUGAAAUCCCCGGGCUCAACCUGGGAACUGCAUUCGAGACUGGGAAGCUAAAAUCUUGUACAGGGGGGUAGAAUUCCAAGUGUAGGGGUGAAAUGCUUAGAGAUCUGGAGGAAUACCGGUGGCGAAGGCGGCCGCCUGGACUAAUACCGAGACUCAAGUGCAAAAUCGUGGGGAGCAAACGAGAUUAGAUACCCUGGUACUCCACGCUGUUUACCAUGUGGAUUUGGACGUUGUGCCCUUGAUGCGUGGCUUCCGGAACUAAGGCGUGAAAUCCACCGCCUGGGGAGUACGGCCGCAAGGUUAAAACUCAGAUGAGUUGACCGGCGCCCGCACAAACUUUGGAGCAUGUGGUUUAAUUCCAUGCGACGCGGAUAACCUUACCUGGUCUUGACAUCCACACAACUUUGCAGAGAUCGAUUGAUGCCUUCGGGAACUGUGAGACAGGAGCUGGGUGGCUGUCCUCGUCUGCUGUUGUGAAAUGUUCACGUUAAGUCCCGCAACUUGUCGCAACGGGUAUCCAUCGUUGCCGGCGGUCCUCGCCGAUGAACUCACAGUACACUGCCACUGCUGGACUGCAGGAACGCUGCUGAUAAACAUCUAGUCAGCCUGUCCCUUACGACCUUCCCUAGUCGAGUGCUGCGAUGUCAUAUACAACGAGACGCGACCGUCAGCAGAGCGAUGCUACACCUCAUAAAGUCUGAUCAAAGUCUCGGCACUCGUACUCUAGCAACUCGACUGCAUGAAACUCGAGAAUUCGCUAGUGAUCGUACUAUCAG